CUCUACGGCCAUGUCACCCUCAACAAGCCUGAAGUCUAAUCUCAGAAACUAAGCAGGGUCGGACCAGGUUAGUACUUGGAUGGGAAACCACCUAGAAAGACUAGGCAUAAAUA
rnacentral:rRNA from 1 species